rnacentral:rRNA from 1 species
UACGUAGGGUGCAAGCGUUGUCCGGAUUUAUUGGGUUUAAAGGGUGCGUAGGCGGCCCUGUAAGUCAGUGGUGAAAUACUCCAGCUUAACUGGAGGGGUGCCAUUGAUACUGCAGGGCUUGAGUUAAGUUGAAGUUGGCGGAAUUGACGGUGUAGCGGUGAAAUGCUUAGAUAUCGUCAAGAACACCGAUAGUGAAGACAGCUAACUAAACUUUUACUGACGCUGAGGCACGAAAAGUGUGGGGAUCAAACAGG